rnacentral:rRNA from 1 species
CAGUAGUCAUAUGCUUGUCUCAAAGACUAAGCCAUGCAUGUGUAAGUACACACCAUCCUAAGGUGAGACCGCGAAUGGCUCAUUAAAUCAGUUAUGGUUCAUUAGACGAGUUAAAUCCCACUUGGAUAACUGUGGCAAUUCUAGAGCUAAUACAUGACUUGUGAGCUCUGACCGCUCAGGGAAGAGCGCUUUUAUUAGACCAAGACCAAUCGGACUUGUCCGUUUCCUUUGGUGACUCUGAAUAACCUUUUGAAGAUCGCACGGUCUCGAACUGGCGACGCGUCUUUCAAAUGUCUGCCUUAUCAACUGUCGAUGGUAGGUUAUGCGCCUACCAUGGUUGUAACGGGUAACGGAGAAUCAGGGUUCGACUCCGGAGAGGGAGCCUGAGAAACGGCUGCCACAUCCAAGGAAGGCAGCAGGCACGCAAAUUACCCACUCCCGGCACGGGGAGGUAGUGACGAAAAAUAACGAUGCGGGACUCUUCCGAGGCCCCGUAAUCGGAAUGAGUACACUUUAAAUCCUUUAACGAGGAUCAAUUGGAGGGCAAGUCUGGUGCCAGCCGCCGCGGUAAUUCCAGCUCCAAUAGCGUAUACUAAAGUUGUUGCGGCUAAAAAGCUCGUAGUUGGAUUUCAGUCGUAGGCCGGUGGUCCACCGCCCGGUGGCUACUGCCUGGCCUAGGCACCUUGCCGGCUCUCCUGCGAUGCUCUUGAUUGGGUGUCGUGGGUGGCCGGAACGUUUACUUUGAAAAAAUUAGAGUGCUCCAAGCAGGCGUUGCGGCCUGAAUAACACAGCAUGGAAUAAUGGAACAGGACCUUGGUUCUGUUUUGUUGGUCUUUGGAAGCUAAGGUAAUGAUUAAUAGGGACGGACGGGGGCAUUCGUAUUGCGACGCUAGAGGUGAAAUUCUUGGACCGUCGCAAGACGAACUACUGCGAAAGCA